rnacentral:misc_RNA from 1 species
UUGUUUAUAAUUUGCAUGUGCGUGGAACAUUCUGUGACGCACACUGGAUUCGCACAUACCCACGUUCAACCACACGCACAAACACACACAUACGUCACCCUUCGCAACUUGCCGGGCAUAGAACGUCUCCAUUCGCUCACAGUCUCACAAGACACCGUCAAGACUAUAAGGCACGCCUGACAAGAUGGAGGAGCGCGGUGAUGCCUUGAUGGCGGAGGCGGAGAAACAGCUGAAGAAGCGCUCGUGGUUCUCGUCGAGCGACACGAAAGUUGAUGAGGCGCACGACACGUUCCUGCAGGCUGCCACGCAGUACAAGGCCGCUGGCAAUUUCGCGAAGGUGGCCCAGGCGUACAAGCGCGCCUCUGAAAUGUCCCUCAAGAACAAGAGCGAGAGUGACCAGGCGGUGGAGAUGGAGGAGGCAGCAAAGGCAUUCGUCAAGGCCGGCGAUGCAAAGUCAGCAGCAGCCCUGCUCAGAGACGUGGUGGACAUGUAUGACAAGGCUCAGAAGUACACAAACGCAGCCAAGGCGUGCGCUGCGCUGGGCGACAUAACCAUGGGCGACGAGGCGAUGCGGUGGCUGCAACAGGCCGUGCGCUACUUCCGCAAUCAAGGUGCAAAGGUGACGGCCUCGGAGAUCGUGCUCAAGAUGGCGGACAUGAAGGCGCGCUCUGGCGACUACGCCGGGGCGCAGCAGAUCUACGACCAUCUUGCCCGCGAGGCGCUGGAGGACCGUGUGGCGCGCGGCAACGCACGCAAGCUGUUCUUUACGACUCUCUUGUGCCAGCUGGCCCUCAUGACGCCGGAGAGUCUUAUGGAGGAUGUAGACGUGCUCGAGGAGCGCUUUCAGGAGUACCAGGAGCUGGACACGCAGUUCAACAUGAACACACGCGAGCACAUGUUUGUGACGGACGUGAUUGCAGCGAUCCAAGGCGAGGACACGGCAAUGUUCGACGAGGCGGUUCGCGAGUACGACUCCAUCUGCCCCCUGGACGACCUUCGCGAGAAGAUGAUCCUCAAGGGGAAGCAGGCUCUUCGCGAGCGGAUAAGUGACCUGCGGUAGGCGAGGGUGCUGAGCACUGCACAGGCUUCUCCCACCCUUUCCCACCCUCUGCAUCCUCCUUUUCUCUCUACGAGGGCCACACUUUUCCUUCUCUUUUUGUUUUUUUUUUGUUCUGUCGUCUCGCUUCGGUCCUGUUACUGGCUCUCUCGCCCUACGGCUCUCAUCAUCAUCAUCUAUCGCUACGACGGCUCACUUCCCUAUCUCCGCUUUCCUUUACUCGUCUUCUCACGACACGCUCCUCGUGGCCUUAUUGCUAUGCUUGCCUUUUUGUUUUCCCUUUACUGCGUGCAUGUAUGUGUCCGUGUCUGCGUGACGAGUCCACAGAUCAGACAUCAGAAGUAAC